rnacentral:lncRNA from 1 species
GGGCAUCCGGAUGGCGACUGCGGGAAAUCGAGUUCUCAUGCUGGGGCGAAAGGACCGUCCGCCCGCUCGGAAGAGGCGAAUCUCCCACGGCAGACGUCUGGGUGUGCGAAUGCCAGUUGAGCGGGGCCUCGAGGACGCGUCACACACAGCGAGGAUUUGAGGAGGGAAGCGCCUUCCAGAGCUUCAGAGAAGAGGCAGAAGUGUGCAAACAGGAGCAGGUCCAAGAUUUGCAUGGCCAGAAGCAAUUCUUGAUCCUCUUGGCUAGAUUCGAAGAUUUGGCCACCUCCAGACGCUACCACACUCUGGGACAGUGGGAGAUUUGGAACAGCUUUGAGAAGAGCAAGUUCCAGGAAGAAGCUCAGCCCUUGCAAAACAAAAAAACUGGUUGGAUCUUUGGCGAACUCUCCUCAUUACCAUUCUAAAAACCCUGCCCAGGGAGGAGCUUUUUGGCCAUUUUCUACACAUGCCACAAAGGUAGAAGCAUGAUCAGCUACUGCACCUGCACUGCCUUUACUCUACCUCUACAUAUAAUGACUUAGCUAACCAGCCCAAUAAAAGGCCUGUUUUCACUCUGUUUGGGGAGACACUGCUUUGGGGAACCAUUCCCAUGUCCUCUUUACUUGUUCCAAGUAAUAAAAUCCCCUUAUUAUGUC